GGCCAGCAAAAUCCUAUCCCAACCUCCUCGUGGUGCUGGCUGGAAUAUGCAACUUGUUUGCAUAUACUAACUGGGAAGG
rfam:Anopheles sinensis unplaced genomic scaffold AS2_scf7180000695684, whole genome shotgun sequence.